rnacentral:rRNA from 1 species
GUGUAGCUGGAAGGAGAAUUCAGCUCUUUCGCAUGAUGUUGCCGGAGCAUCGGACUGUAGAGUGCUUACUACAGCAUCAAGAUCACUAGUUUUGGGGUAACCCUUUACUAGCCUUGAGCUCUACAGUCUACGGAAUGUUCCAGGAUACUCUAGGCAGCAUUCGUGUGGGGAGUGCAUUUUCUCAUCUUCCGAGCUCGAGUCUCGACCAGUGUGGCGGACUUGAGAGAAGACUCGUAUACAGUGGCUAUAGAAAGGUAUGCUAACACCAUACCUGAUCUAUUUCCCAGUUAUCAAAGCUACUGAUUAUCCUUGCGGUAGUCAGACUAGCUUUGAGCUGGAAUAGGCAGCUAUAGUCACAAACACACUGGAUAAGAAUCUCUGCGUAUGCAGGGUCAACACAAUGCCCGUGAGGUGCCAGCAUAUCGAGUAGUAUUUCGCUAUUGAGCUUUGUUUUUGUACUCAGUGCAAGAACGGUUCAUGUAUAUUACUCUUGGGUGGUGUGUUGGAUACAUCUCAUUGGGUUAUUGGACUGUUGAUGUGAUUCGGAGACAAGUAGAUCGGUACUCUAUCCGACCCGUCUUGAAACACGGACCAAGGAGUCUAACAUGUAUGCAAGCCGAACAGUCUUGUAUAGGCUUGGAAGGCGAAUUGAAAGAAAUAUACUGUGGGUAUGAUGUGUACCAACUCAUUGUCCAUGAAUGUGGUACAAUGUUGGUUCACCGCAAUACCGGCCCGUGGGCUAUCCUCUUUACCGAGAUAUCCGCGGAGCUAUAGUAUAUAUGUUAGUACCCGAAAGAUGGUGAACUAUGCCCGGGCAAGAUGAAGCCAGAGGAAACUCUGGUGGAGGUCUGUAGCGAUUCUGACGUGCAAAUCGAUCGUCAGAUCC